UGCAAAUGAUGUUUUCUCACGAUGGUCUGCAGACUCUACAAUGGUGAUACUGCCACAUGGCACUAGCUGAUGCAGUUAU